rnacentral:rRNA from 1 species
GGUUGAUCCUGCCAGUAGUCAUAUGCUUGUGUUAAAGAUUAAGCCAUGCAUGUCUAAGUACAGGUAGCAAAACCGAAACUGCGGAUGGCUCAUUACAACAGUUAUUAUUGAAACAGUGAAUAUUUGGGAAUAAAGGAGCAAUCCUUGAAGACAAAGAAAUAGAUGGAUAACCCUGCUAAUCGUAGAGCUAAUACAUGAAGUCAAGGCUCGGCGGAGAAUGGGAGGCACAGCUGAGCUCGGUUGAUGGAGAACAAAAAGUCAGACUUCUGACAACCCUGAUCCAUUGGUGGUG